rnacentral:lncRNA from 1 species
CGUGGAUGGUCUUCAUUGGGAUUGUCAUGGUACUUUUUUUUAUUAUAAUUUUUUUUUUUCAUUAGUGCAUCACUUAAAUACAUAUAAUUUACUGUAUAAUCCGGACUUGCCAUUUAUUGAAUUAUAAAUUCCAAUUUCUUAAAAUGAAAUAUAUUGCAUUUAAUUUAUUUUGGAAUUGACAUGUAUAUAACAUUCUCUGUGAAAAAUUACAGUGUGUAUAGCAGAUGGUUCAAUUAGUUUAAGUGAAAGAUUUAAACUGAUUUAGUCUUUAAAACUCUCUGAUUCAAACUUAACUAUGAAAAAUCUAUCAAAUAUGUCACUUUUCACAUGUUCUUUGUCAAAAAUGAAAGUGGCCUCUGUGUUAAUCAUCAACCUUUAUAUAUGUUAUUUAUCAUCAAAAUUUAUACAACUUACAUUUCAGUAUUAAGAAUGAACACAAAUGUGGCCACUUUUAUUUCACACGGAAACCAUCUAAAAUUUAACUAAAAUGCUUAAAUUGUGGAUAUUUCAGUAAUUUAGCAUGACUUUAUGAUGCUAAUACCCGAUUUAUAUGCCUUGUAUUGUCAAAUCAGCCCAUAUUUAUGUCACAGUAGCAUUCUAUUUUCCCUAAAGUAAAUGAAAGUUUACAUUUUUAUAAUUUUGUAAAACUGCUAUAUUUUUGGGUGCAUAAGGGGUCUUACUGGACCUAUUGCUUUAAAGUUUUUGGAUUCCAUUCAUUGCCACAGUAAAUACUGAAUUGAGUCAUUAACAAUUAUAUUUAUUACCAUGUGUUUCUGUUAUUAAAUGGAUACCACUAUCUUAUAUAUUCAUUACUUAUUUCUGAUAUUAUUUAUUUUUACAGGUUGUGCAGUGUCCUACAAAGGCCUUCUAUACCCAGAAAUUCAAAACAUUAAUACACAACUGGUGGAACAGAACAAUGCCAAAUUAAAGAAGUUGAAGCCUUCACUUUCGUACAUGAAAGCAGAAAAUUUCAUGAAAUCCGUAACCUUUUUUGAAUGGCAUUGCAACCAACAAUUGAAAGAUUAAAUGACAAAUGUUACU